rnacentral:rRNA from 1 species
UACGUAGGGUGCGAGCGUUGUCCGGAAUUAUUGGGCGUAAAGAGCUUGUAGGUGGCUCGUCGCGUCGGGAGUGAAAACCCGCGGCUUAACCGCGGGCCUGCUUUCGAUACGGGCGGGCUAGAGUUCGGCAGGGGAGACUGGAAUUCCUGGUGUAGCGGUGGAAUGCGCAGAUAUCAGGAGGAACACUGGUGGCGAAGGCGGGUCUCUGGGCCGAUACUGACACUGAGAAGCGAAAGCGUGGGGAGCGAACAGG